rnacentral:rRNA from 1 species
GACAGAGGCCCCAAGCGUUAGGCGGAAUCACUGGGCUUAAAGCGUGUGUAGGCGGACGCCUAAGUGUCUUGUGAAAUCCCACGGCUCACCCGUGGAACUGCUGGGCAUACUGGGCGUCUUGGGCCAACUAGGGGCAGCCGGAACAAGCGGUGGAGCGGUGAAAUGCGUAGAUAUCGCUUGGAACGCCGAAGGUGAAAACAGGCUGCUGGGGUUGCGCCGACGCGUGAGACACGAAAGCCAGGGGAGCAAACGGG